AGCAGCCGCGGUAAUUCCAGCUCCAAUAGCGUAUAUUAAAGUUGUUGCAGUUAAAAAGCUCGUAGUUGAACUUCAGGCCUGGCUGGACGGUCCGCCUUCCGGGUGAGCACUGUCUGUGGUCGGGUCCUACCUUCUGGCGAAGCGUCAUGGCCUUAACCGGCCGUGGCGGGGAACCAGGACUUUUACUGUGAAAAAAUUAGAGUGUUCAAAGCAGGCAAUUCGCUUGGAUACAUUAGCAUGGAAUAAUGGAAUAGGACAAUUGUUCUAUUUGUUGGUUUCUAGGACUGUUGUA
rnacentral:rRNA from 1 species